rnacentral:misc_RNA from 1 species
CGCACAUUGCGCCCGCGAGUAUUCUCGCGGGCAUGCCUGUUCGAGCGUCAUUUCAACCCUCAAGCCCCCGGGCUUGGUGUUGGGGAUCGGCGGUCGCGGCCCUCCACGGGCCCGCGCCGGCCCCGAAAUCUAGUGGCGGUCUCGCUUGCAGCCUCCUCUGCGUAGUAGUAACAUUCUCGCACCGGAGCGCGGGCGCGGCCACGCCGUUAAACACCCCACUUCUGAAAGGUUGACCUCGGAUCAGGUAGGAAUACCCGCUGAACUUAA